rnacentral:rRNA from 1 species
CGUAGCAAUACGUUCGCUGGCGACCGGCAAACGGGUGCGGAACACGUACACAACCUUCCUUAAAGUGGGGGAUAGCCCGGGGAAACCCGGAUUAAUACCCCGUAACAUAGUGAAGUGGCAUCGCUUUAUUAUUAUAGCAGUAAUGCGCUUAAAGAUGGGUGUGCGACUGAUUAGGCAGUUGGCGGGGUAACGGCCCACCAAACCUACGAUCAGUAACUGGUGUGAGAGCACGACCAGUCACACGGGCACUGAGACACGGGCCCGACUCCUACGGGAGGCAGCAGUAAGGAAUAUUGGUCAAUGGACGCAAGUCUGAACCAGCCAUGCCGCGUGGAGGAUGAAGGUCCUCUGGAUUGUAAACUUCUUUUACCUGGGAAGAAAUCCACAAAUUCUUUUGUGGUUGACGGUACCAGGUGAAUAAGCACCGGCUAACUCCGUGCCAGCAGCCGCGGUAAUACGGAGGGUGCAAGCGUUAUCCGGAUUCACUGGGUUUAAAGGGUGCGUAGGUGGGUUGGUAAGUCAGUGGUGAAAUCUCCAGGCUUAACUUGGAAACUGCCAUUGAUACUAUCAAUCUUGAAUACCGUGGAGGUCAGCGGAAUAUGUCAUGUAGCGGUGAAAUGCUUAGAUAUGACAUAGAACACCAAUUGCGAAGGCAGCUGGCUACGCGGAUAUUGACACUGAUGCACGAAAGCGUGGGGAUCAAACAGGAUUAGAUACCCUGGUAGUCCACGCCCUAAACGAUGGAUACUCGACAUACGCGAUAUACUGUGUGUGUCUGAGCGAAAGCAUUAAGUAU